CUGACGAAUGGAUUGGGUACGAAAAGGAACGCUGUACGAUCGCCGCGCUGCUAGUCUUUCCCUGCCGUAAAUCCCCACCACUGCCAUUGCCAGUACCACGGUCGACGGACCGCGAGAGAAACCGACGGACUAUCCCCACCCAGACGGGCUCACCAGUUACCACCCAGCGAGGCACACUACACAUGAGAACGCGAAUCGAUGAAACAGAUCGGUUGACCUCCCCCCGUCCCUGCUCAAAAUAUUAGACAACCGUCGCUACCCUAUCCCGCCAAAGUGAGAAACGACUGGCGGCGAAGCAAACCGAACGACUCUCGUGGUCCACAUUACUACAGGCUCAGUGUCAUAUCACCAUUGCAAUUGUAAUUGUUGUCACUAUCAAUAUCUUAAUUAUAAGCAAUAUCUUAAGGCUACUUUAAGUCUAUUUCUUCAUUUAUGUCGACAUUAUUACACUUAUAAGACAAUUUUCAUCAGUAAUACAACCGAAAGUUAAUAAAACAGGAUUUUCUAGAAACAUUUUCAGACAAAACACAAUCGGUGACGGUUACAUAACUUGACAUUUUUUAACAUAGCAAUUUCUUAAAAAAAAUGUCUGAUGCAUUAAACUAAAUUUCCCAACUCAUGUUUAUUAACUAUUUAAAUAAAAAAUAGUCAGGAUCAUUUUCCCGAAAGUUAAAAGAUUUUCAUAAAAUUCUGAACGUACCCUAAUAAUUCUAUUCCAAGACGUUUUAAAUUGAAUUAUUUUUGAUCAUAGUCACGUCCAUCGAAUAAUAUUUUAAUAAAGUGUUAUUUCUAUAUAAGUAUGUGAUGAUUAACUCAAAAUGAGUUUUUGUUUUAAUUGAUAGAAAACUUACUUUUGACCUAAGAAUUUGAUCUAUACUCCAGUCUCAAAAAAUUUUAUCAGCUAAAAUUUAGGAUAAUUUAUUAUGUUUUAACAUAAUGGCAAAGAUAAAACUUUUACAUAAAUUGGUGGCCACACAAAGAAUAAUACAUUUUUAUUAGGACCUAUACCUAAUUUUUUACUCCAAAAAUGAUAUCGUUAUAUAAACCCAUACUUUUUUGAUAUUGGUCUACUCUAAACCAACAUUGAUUUAAUGGCGUUCAAUGUAUUAAAUUUUAUAAAUUUUGAUUUCUACAACAUUUUGUAAUUUACACUAAUCACAUUUUUACACGUACAAUACAAAAUUAUUUUAAUUAAAAUAGCUAUUUAAUUAUAAGAUUUAAUCUAAAAAUAUUUCGUAACCAAAACAAACUUCACCUAUACAACCACAAUGAUAUCAAACGAGUUUUUCAAGUUCAUCAAUGUCACAAACUUGAUUAAAUUUUGAAAAAAUAAAUUCUACUUCAAAAGUGUAAAAAGAUACGUUGAAAAGAAGGGACUUAAGAUGAGGAAUUGAAGUAUAAUUAUUAAUUGAACACAAAUAGACGCACAAUGGCUCUAAAUAAAUAGAUUCACAUUCAACGCUAAAAGUAAUAAAUAGUUACGAAGUAUUCCAACUAAUCUUUUAAAUGUAACUAAAACUAUGAAGACUACAAUUAAUAGACAGUAUCGAAUACAAGUGCCCUGAAUGGUUGACUUUGGAGUAACACUAGACAAAUAUUAGCUUUUUUUACUAACAUCAGAAUUUGUAAAUUUCAUGUAUUGAAUAAAUUUUUUUGUUCUUUUUCUUAUAUUAAAAGGGACGAAAACAUAAAAUAAGAGACAUCGGUAUUUGGUAACCCAGGUAGCAUAAUUCUUAAAUGUAGCCCUGAGUACUAUUAAAUAAUAUGAAAAUUACUCACUUAGAACAAGUUAAAAAGAAUAUUUUUGAUUCCUGUUUUUAAAUUUGUAUAAAAUAAUUUUAAGCCACCAGGCCAAUAACAUUCAACUUCAAGGUUAACGAUUGAUAGAUGAUAC